CCAUGGGGACCCGGCCUGAGGAGCAGGGCGGCCGGAAAGGACCCCAGUCAUAUUGGACUAGAGCCCACCCAUUUGACCUCAUUUGACCUGAGUUACCUAUUUAAGGGCCUUAUCUCCAAAUACAGUCAUAUUACGAGGUAUUGGGGGUUAAGACUUCCACAUAUUAACUUGAGCAGGACACAAUUCAGCUGAUAAUAGAAGAAGGCAGUGGGAAGUGGACAGAAGACCUGAUAGGAAAGAUAAAAAGAAGAGGAAAAGGAAAAUAAAAGUUUCCAGUUUGGGGCUUCCCUGGUGGUGCAGUGGUUGAGAAUCUGCCUGGGAACAUCCCACAUGCCGCGGAGCAACUAGGCCCGUGAGCCACAAUUGCUGAGCCUGCGCGUCUGGAGUCUGUGCUCCACAACAAGAGAGGCCCCGAUAAUGAGAGGCCCGCGCACCGAGAUGAAGAGUGGCCCCCACUUGCCGCAACAAGAGAAAGUCCUUGUACAGAAACGAAGACCCAACACAGCCAAAAAUAAAUAAAUAAAUAAAUAAAUAAAUAAAUAAAUAAAUAAAUAAAUAAAAAGUUUCCAGUUUGACAAUCAAGCUGUCUUCUGCAUCCAUUUCAUCCCAAGACCACCAAGCCAGUGUGGAGGCUUUUUCCUCCUUUCCUUUUCGUGAGACUGAUCACAACCAGCACUGCAGAGUCCAUUAAAUUAAGAAAUGCUGUUGCAUACAUGUGUGAAUGAGCUGUGAGUAAAGUACUGGAGUAGAGGACACCUAACUUGAAACGUCCUCAUGAAUGUCCAUGUGGCUGAGCAGGAAGUUAACCUGUCACAGAUGUGCUAAAUCAGAAGAGUUGGGCUUUAUUUUAUUUACUUUUCCCUGGACUCUGUUGAAUGACUGUCAUCUACAAGUUCAGGCUACUUUUUGCUGACGAUUAAUGCACUGGGAGAGCUGAGAGAAAACUGAAUAGUAGAGCUAUCUUUUUCUUGACCAGUUCACCUUACUUUCCCAAACUCAAAGUCUUUCCCUAUUUCUUUCUCCUUUUUAUUGUAGUAAAAUGAACAUAACAUAAAAUUCACCAUUUUGAUCACUUUACAAUUCACUGUACAAUUCAGUGGAAUUUAGUACUGUCACAAUGCUGUGCAACUGUCACCACUGCCUAGUUGCAAAACAUUUUCAUCACCCCAAAAGGAAACCUACACCCAUUUUAAGCAGUCAUUCCCUAUUUCCCUCUCUUCCAAACCCCUGGCAACCACUAAUGUAUAAUAUUUUCCGUGUGUAUGGAUUUGCCACUGCUGGACAUUUCGUAUAAAUGGAACCAUACAAUAUGUGGCCUUUCGUGCCUGAUUUCUUUCACUUAGUUGCAUCCAUGAUGUAGCAUGUAUCAGUAAUCCAUUCACUUUUAUGGCUGAAUUCCCUGAUCCUGUUUUCUUCAUACUGUUUGAAUACAAACUUUAAAAUAUGUUGAGGGUGAAGCUCUGUUUUAAUGGCACAUCUAUUAGGCCAAUUCAUUUAAAGAAGGUGAAAAUGGAGAUAUUGUUGUGAAAUGAUAAU